AUAUUUUUCUCGGCCUUUUGGCUAAGAUAAAAUGAAAUAUUUGUUUUUGUCAUUUUAAUAUAUGAUAUGUGAAUCAUAUGUUCGUUUUGAUAUUAAAUUUAUUUUUUAUGGAUAUUAAAUAUAAUUAUGUGUCGUUGUAACACACUGGCAUUAGACUAGUAACGUUAAUGAAAACCAUGUUAACGCUCA
rfam:Zea mays cultivar B73 chromosome 9, whole genome shotgun sequence.